UGGGGGAUAUUGCACAAUGGGGGAAACCCUGAUGCAGCGACGCCGCGUGGAGGAAGAAGGUUUUCGGAUUGUAAACUCCUGUCGUUAGGGACGAUAAUGACGGUACCUAACAAGAAAGCACCGGCUAACUACGUGCCAGCAGCCGCGGUAAAACGUAGGGUGCAAGCGUUGUCCGGAAUUACUGGGUGUAAAGGGAGCGCAGGCGGACCGGCAAGUUGGAAGUGAAAACUAUGGGCUCAACCCAUAAAUUGCUUUCAAAACUGCUGGCCUUGAGUAGUGCAGAGGUAGGUGGAAUUCCCGGUGCAGCGGUGAAAUGCGUAGAUAUUAGGAGGAACACCAGUGGCGAAGGCGGCUUACUGGACUGUAACUGA
rnacentral:rRNA from 1 species